rnacentral:rRNA from 1 species
GAUGAACGCUGGCGGCGUGCUUAACACAUGCAAGUCGAACGGUGAACGAGGGAGCUUGCUCCUUCCGGAUCAGUGGCGAACGGGUGAGUAACACGUGAGCAAUCUGCCCCGAACUCUGGGAUAAGCGCUGGAAACGGCGUCUAAUACCGGAUACGACGCGCGAAGGCAUCUUCUGCGCGUGGAAAGAAUUUCGGUUCGGGAUGAGCUCGCGGCCUAUCAGCUAGUUGGUGAGGUAACGGCUCACCAAGGCGACGACGGGUAGCCGGCCUGGGAGGGUGACCGGCCACACUGGGACUGAGACACGGCCCAGACUCCUACGGGAGGCAGCAGUGGGGAAUAUUGCACAAUGGGCGCAAGCCUGAUGCAGCAACGCCGCGUGAGGGACGACGGCCUUCGGGUUGUAAACCUCUUUUAGUAGGGAAGAAGCGAAAGUGACGGUACCUGCAGAAAAAGCACCGGCUAACUACGUGCCAGCCGCCGCCGUAACAC